AGGCCUCGCCUUGGGAGGGAGGCCGGCUCGGACCCGCUAGUGGGUUUGGUGUGUUAGAACGCGCGGGUGGUGAUGUCAUUGGCAACCAAUCAAAAACUUAAAAGUGCUAGCCCGGGCCCGCUUGGAGCAGCGGCUCUCUAUUUACAUGUAAACCUAGGCAGCAGGACGCGGUUAACCCUUCCUGGGACUGAAGUGUCAAUGGCUUGCUCUGGUCGCUCCGGCUGAAACUGGUUCUUCUGACCCUCCCCCGCCCCCUGUUGAGGACAUCAGCCUCGCGGGGUCUCCAUUCCGCCUUUUGACUCCAGGUGGAGUGUCCAUCCAACUUUCCCCAGGCCGGAGACGACUCGAAGCCGGGUCCCUCCAUGGCUGUGGCUGCGCCGCGCGGGACGUGAGCGUGCACAGGGCCGGCCUCCCCGCAGCCCCGCUUGGCCCGGCCCGCAGAUGUCGCUGCCCCUCCGGCUGCCCUACUGCUCUCCCGCGCGGCGGCUGCGCGCCGUGCUCUUGUUCCCCUACUUCCGUGACCCUGUCACUCCUCCGCCGUCCCCAACCUGUUCUCAGGAGCCCGACUCCGAUCCCGAAGGCGGCACUCCGGAGAGCUACUCGGAGGAGGACGCCUGGCUCUGUGAGAGCAGCCACUGGGGGCCGGUGUUGAAGGGCAGCGUGGGCGCCGUCCCGCAGAGCUGGGCGUGGCCGGGCCCUCCGAACGCCCCACAAGCCCCGCAGCCCAGGCACCGACCUCCUCCCAACGCGGUCCCCGCUUCUCCCGCGGCCACCUCCCCCUGUGCGAUGUUUUGGAGCCCGCAGUCCAUCCGCCCCCCGGUGCUGGGCCGCCCCCGGCCCUCAGUGGCGCAGGGCCCUCGGCGAGCCAAGGAGCGCCAGCCUGGAACAGCAAGCGCCGGCGGGAAGGAGCCAGAGCUCGGGUUGAACAGCCAGAAUGAGCGGCGCUUGAGGAGCAUGGAAGGGCCCACGCCAGCUCUCCCGAUUCCCCGAACUUUGUCCAUCAGAGGGGUCACUACUGGUCGGGGUAUGUCACCGGUGAAGAGAAGUGGGAAGCUGAGCAAGCCUGCUAGCGCCUUGCCAGAAAAAUAUCAGGGAAGGUACAGAAGAAUGACCCUGGAAUUCAAAGGAGUGGAAAAGCCCAGAUGAACUGUGAUGAAGUUGCGUUAAAGAAUCCUAAAGCAAUAGAGCUUUUUAUACCUCCCUACCCCCUCAGAGAGGAAGACCAAAAUGUGAAGUAAUUGAAGUGGAAUAAAACAUUAUCAGCUCCGUGGC
rnacentral:lncRNA from 1 species